rnacentral:rRNA from 1 species
AGUUUGAUCCGUGGCCUCGAAGAACGAACGCUGGCGGCAUGCCUAACACAUGCAAGUCGAACGAGACCUUCGGGUCUAGUGGCGCACGGGUGCGUAACGCGUGGGAAUCUGCCCUUGGGUUCGGAAUAACAGUUAGAAAUGACUGCUAAUACCGGAUAAUGUCUUCGGACCAAAGAUUUAUCGCCCAGGGAUGAGCCCGCGUAGGAUUAGCUAGUUGGUGAGGUAAAAGGGCUCACCAAGGCGACGAUCCUUAGCUGGUCUGAGAGGAUGAUCAGCCACACUGGGACUGAGACACGGCCCAGACUCCUACGGGAGGCAGCAGUGGGGAAUAUUGGACAAUGGGCGAAAGCCUGAUCCAGCAAUGCCGCGUGAGUGAUGAAGGCCUUAGGGUUGUAAAGCUCUUUUACCCGGGAUGAUAAUGACAGUACCGGGAGAAUAAGCCCCGGCUAACUCCGUG